GAUGGUGGGUAAUACCGGAUGACGUCGUGAGACCAAAGAUUUAUCGCCCUUAGAGGGGCCCCAUGUGAUAUUAGCUAGUUGGUGAGGUAAUGGCUCACCAAGGCGAAGAUGUCUAGCGGGUGUGAGAGCACGACCCGCGCCACUCGCACUGAGACACUGGCGAGACACCUACGGGUGGCUGCAGUCGAGGAUCUUCGGCAAUGAGCGCAAGCUUGACCGAGCGACGCCGCGUGAGCGAUGAGGGCCUUCGGGUUGUAAAGCUCUUUAGUGGGGGAGAAAAGCCGAAAGGUGUGAUCUAUCCCAAAAAUAAGCACGGGCUAAGUUCGUGCCAGCAGCCGCGGUAAGACGAACCGUGCGAACGUUAUUCGGAAUCAGUGGGCUUAAAGGGCGCGUAGGCGGGCUGUCAAGUCUGGGGUGAAAUCCCGCGGCUCAACCGUGGAACUGCCUCAGAUACUGACGGCCUCGAGGAAGGUAGGGGCAUGCGGAACUGUAGGUGGAGCGGUGAAAUGCGUUGAUAUCUACAGGAACUCCGGUGGCGAAAGCGGCGUGCUGGACCUUUCCUGACGCUGGGGCGCGAAAGCUAGGGGAGCAAACGGGAUUAGAUACCCCGGUAGUCCUAGCCCUAAACGAUGGGUACUAGAUAGUAGACUCGAUAUAGGUUUACUGUCGAAGCUAAAGUGCUAAGUACCCCGCCUGGGGAGUAUGGUCGCAAGG
rnacentral:rRNA from 1 species